UGGAUGCCAGCAGCCCUCAAGAGAUGUCGUUAGGGACCUUCUUCAGCAGGGACACGGCAGUACACAAAAUGAUCGUGGCUCUCGCCGUCGUGAUGUCACCCAAUGGCUUCUUUCUAGCCGGGAUCAACAUAAUUCCGCUCCACAGGAUGCUCGUCAAAAUCUACAUCCGCUUGACAGAGCUGCGGUGCAGCAUUACAGCAACACGCAGUCAAUCUCUCAGCAUACUCAGACAGGUGCUGCACAGCAACGGACUGCACUACCACUUCAAUCCCAAGAUGAUGGAUUGGUUACGCAUUGCCUCAGUCCACCAUACACGGACGACUCGGUUCCCAGUGUGGAAUCUCUUUCUCCCGGACCAAAGGCACCUUGGAAAUUGAGUCAAGGGGCUGCGCGAAUGCACAGAUUACCAUGGCCACCAGGUAGUUCGCCACUUUCAGACGAUUCUCUUGCCAGUCUCGAACCUCCUUCCCCAGGACAGAAGGUGGAUUGGAAAUUGAAUCAACAAGCUCCUCGAGUGCAAUGGGCACAUCGGCCACAAAGCUGUUCACCAUUCUCAGAUGAUUCAGUUUCCAAUCAGGAAUCUCCUUUCCCAAAACUGAAGGUGGCUUGGAAAUUGAGCCUACAGGCUGCACGACCAGAACAGUCACCUCGUCCACAAGUUUGUUCAUCAGCCCCAAAGGGUCCUGUUCCCGGCCUGGAAAUGCAUCCGCGAGAAAAGGACGGCAGAGUAAGAGAAAAUCAGCAUACUGCCCAUAACGAACUUGCAUUUCAAAGCAUGAUGCAGCCAGGAACUGAUUCUUCGGCUUCAGAUACUACCCUUCGGAGACUGGAGUCAGUUACGGCAGCAGACUUACAAAUACGGGAAGCGAAUAAGGGUGCCGGCCAACGAGAAUGGCCAGGUUCUAGCAGAACACAGCAAGCACCGUUUUCACCAGCUUCAUAUUAUUCGCCAGGAAGUCAUCCCUUGACACUGCCGCAAAAUGUAACAAAUUUUAACGUGAAUCAACAAGCUGAAGCAGGAGAGUAUUUACAUCGAGGAAUGGCGCAGCAGCCAACUGUACCACCACUUGAAGACAACCCUUCCAUCAGCAAGACUUUACCUGCACAGGACGUAUUCCCCCAAUUAGAGCAACACAAGAAGCUUUUCCACCAACAUUGCCGCAUUCGAGAGCUGGGCGAGCAGCGAUUAUGUCCCACUAUCCCGGAAAACAGAUGCCCAAUGCGAAAACACAUGUGGCCGAAAAUGCCGGCAUAGAUGUUGCAGCUUCCUCACAGCUGCAUGACAUAGAAUCGCCAGAGAUUCGGGAAUAUGCCACGUCGGAACGAACGCUUCCUGGACGCUUACAUCCUCCUGUAGCGUACACAUCUCAAUACUCGGUUGCUACGCCAAGUAACGAGCAACCGGCAACCGGAAAUGAAGGCGCCGUCAGCAACGGCCGAGAUAUCCGGCCGGUGACUGCUUCCUUGCAAAGUGACACACGGCAAGUAGGACGCCGGACUGCCUUAGACAUAUUAGUCUCGGUAGCAUCCAAAUUCCCACAGUAUCACGAAUCAAGGCCAGAUACGACCCACAAAGACUUACAGCAGCUGAACGCAAGGCCAGUGCAAAGCCACAGUCCAUCCAAUCUAUCAUUUUUGGAAGCAUCCUACUGGCCAUCAGCUCACGAACCAUUGCCACAGUUCACUAACAAGGAUUUAGAGCUUCUUAACGAAAACACACAGGUCAAGGUACAUCCAGCGGAGCUGUCGCCUUUGCCGCUAAUGCCAUGGCGUCAUGAUUCUUUCCACGUAAGAAGUGAGAGGCCAACCACCUACACACAGCCGCCCUCCAUGUUAUCCUUACCAACGCAAUCAAAUAUGUCGCCGAUGGGCU